AAAGGGAAACUGGACGACCUUCGGGGAGCUUGUACAGGUGCUGCAUGGCUGUCGUCAGCUCGUGUCGUGAGAUGUUCGGUUAAGUCCGCUAACGAGCGCAACCCUCGCUGUGUGUUACAAGUGUCACACGGGAACUGCCGGUCAUAAACCGGAGGAAGGUGGGGAUGACGUCAAGUCAGCAUGGCCUUUAUAUCCUGGGCUACACACACGCUACAAUGGGAAGGGACAAUAGGUUGCGAAGCCGCGAGGCGGAGCCAAUCCAGCAAACUUCCCUCAGUUCAGAUUGCAGGCUGCAACUCGCCUGCAUGAAGUUGGAGUUGCUAGUAAACGCAGGUCAGCCAUACUGCGUUGAAUACGUUCCCGGGGCUU
rnacentral:rRNA from 1 species